rnacentral:ncRNA from 1 species
UAUGUAGAUCCACUUUCAAUUUUAACUUUUGAAUGUGGUAUGAUGGUAGGCAAAGCAUGGUUCUGGAGAGGAAGCCUGAAAAACCACUAUCACAGUUGAGGAGCAGUCUUUUCAAGGCCCUAUAACUGAAACGAAUACAUUUAAUUUUUUUUUUUUUAAUGAGAAUUUGGAGGGGAUGGGGGCAAGGGUGCUUCCAGUAGCCACUAAUUCUAGCUCCAAAAGAGCACAUUAAAGUUGCUGCUGUUUAAAAACUCAUAGUUGGAUCUUAGUUGGGUAGAUGCUCCCACCAAUUCCUGCCUGUCGUGACCCCUUGAUGCUAUAGCUGAGUGUCCUGUUUGCCCCAAAGCAUUUACUUUGGAAAAAUUAGAGUGCUUAAAGCAGAAACAGGCCUGCUGUAGACCACAGCUAAAACUAAUGGAAUGGGACCCCCAGUUCUGCUUUGUUGGCGUUUGGAACUUAGGUCAUGAUUUAAGAGGGAUGGCCCCAGGUUUUGAUAUUAUGCUGCUAGAGGUCGAUUUCUUGGACCUGUGCAGGAUGGACUCGAAUCAAAGUGUUUGCCAAGAAUUUUUUAUUGAUCAUGAAUCAAAGGCAGAGGAAGCUCGAAAAGAGUCAUCUGACAUCAUGGUUCUAACCUUAAAGGCUGCUGACCUACAAUGGGGAGGCUUUCCCAAACCCACUGGUUGGUUUCCAAGAAACCAGAGUCCUUCUUUAUGUUCUGGGGGAGUGUGCUUAUAA